GGGUGAGUAAUGCAUCGGAACGUACCUUUCAGUGGGGGAUAACGUAGCGAAAGUUACGCUAAUACCGCAUAUUCUGUGAGCAGGAAAGCAGGGGAUCGCAAGACCUUGCGCUGAUGGAGCGGCCGAUGUCAGAUUAGCUAGUUGGUGGGGUAAAGGCUCACCAAGGCGACGAUCUGUAGCGGGUCUUAGAGGAUGAUCCGCCACACUGGAACUGAGACACGGUCCAGACUCCUACGGGAGGCAGCAGUGGGGAAUUUUGGACAAUGGGCGCAAGCCUGAUCCAGCCAUGCCGCGUGAGUGAAGAAGGCCUUCGGGUUGUAAAGCUCUUUCGGCCGGGAAAAAAUCGCUUGGGUUAAUACCCUGAGUGGAUGAUGGUACCGGAAUAAGAAGCACCGGCUAACUACGUGCCAGCAGCCGCGGUAAUACGUAGGGUGCGAGCGUUAAUCGGAAUUACUGGGCGUAAAGCGUGCGCAGGCGGUUUUGUAAGACAGGCGUGAAAUCCCCGGGCUCAACCUGGGAACUGCGUUUGUGACUGCAAGGCUAGAGUAUGGCAGAGGGGGGUGGAAUUCCACGUGUAGCAGUGAAAUGCGUAGAGAUGUGGAGGAACACCAAUGGCGAAGGCAGCCCCCUGGGCCAAUACUGACGCUCAUGCACGAAAGCGUGGGGAGCAAACAGGAUUAGAUACCCUGGUAGUCCACGCCCUAAACGAUGUCAACUAGGUGUUGGGUGGGUAAAACCAUUUGGUACCGUAGCUAACGCGUGAAGUUGACCGCCUGGGGAGUACGGCCGCAAGGUUAAAACUCAAAGGAAUUGACGGGGACCCGCACAAGCGGUGGAUGAUGUGGAUUAAUUCGAUGCAACGCGAAAAACCUUACCUACCCUUGACAUGCCAGGAACUUGCCAGAGAUGGCUUGGUGCCCGAAAGGGAGCCUGGACACAGGUGCUGCAUGGCUGUCGUCAGCUCGUGUCGUGAGAUGUUGGGUUAAGUCCCGCAACGAGCGCAACCCUUGUCGUUAAUUGCCAUCAUUUAGUUGGGCACUUUAACGAGACUGCCGGUGACAAACCGGUGGAAGGUGGGGAUGACGUCAAGUCCUCAUGGCCCUUAUGGGUAGGGCUUCACACGUCAUACAAUGGUCGGUACAAAGGGUUGUCAAAGCCGCGAGGUGGAGCUAAUCCCAGAAAGCCAGUCCCAGUUCGGAUUGCAGUCUGCAACUCGACUGCAUGAAGUUGGAAUCGCUAGUAAUCGCGGAUCAGCACGCCGCGGUGAAUACGUUCCCGGGCCUUGUACACACCGCCCGUCACAUCACGAAAGCCGGCUGUACUAGAAGUCGCCGAGCCAACCCGUAAGGGGGGCAAGCGCCCACGGUAUGGUCGGUGAUUGGGGUGAAGUCGUAACAAGGUA
rnacentral:rRNA from 1 species